CAGUAGCCGCGGGAAUACGAAGGGUGCAAGCGUUAAUCGGAAUUACUGGGCGUAAAGGGCGCGUAGGCGGUUUUGACAGUCAGAUGUGAAAUUCCUGGGCUUAACCUGGGGGCUGCAUUUGAGACGUCAAGACUAGAGUGUGAGAGAGGGUUGUGGAAUUCCCAGUGUAGAGGUGAAAUUCGUAGAUAUUGGGAAGAACACCGGUGGCGAAGGCGGCAACCUGGCUCAUUACUGACGCUGAGGCGCGAAAGCGUGGGGAGCAAACAGGAUUAGAUACCCCCGUAGUCCCUGUCUCUUAUAC
rnacentral:rRNA from 1 species